rnacentral:lncRNA from 1 species
UUGCGAUCAGUAUAUCGAUCUCGUUUUUGAUCGUAUGUGUCAUAGCUAGGGCUUCGGCGGCGACGGUCGGUGUGGCGUUCACGGUUCCGAUCGUAUGAAUCAUAGCUAGGGCUUCGGCUUCGGCGGCUGCGACGGUCGGUGUGACGAUCAAGGUUUCGAUCGUAUGAAUCAUAGCUAGGGCUUCGGCUUCGGCGGCUGCGACGGUCGGUGUGACGAUCAAGGUUUCGAUCGUAUGAAUCAUAGCUAGGGCUUCGGGUGCGACGAUCGUUUUGGCGGUGUGAUUGGCGAGGAAUUUCGAUG